rnacentral:rRNA from 1 species
CGGGUUUAACACAUGCAAGUCGAGGGACGAAGUUUGGUGCUUGCACCGGACGGAAACCGGCGAACGGGUGAGUAACACGUGAGAAACCAACCCUUCACUUUGGAACAACCCAAGGAAACUCGGGCUAAUGCCGAAUACCCUGGUCGGACCGCAUGGUCCAACCGGGAAAGCUCCGGCGGUUCGGGAGGGUCUCGCGGCCUAUCAGGUAGUUGGUGAGGUAACGGCUCACCAAGGCGACGACGGGUAGCUGGAGUGAGAGCUCGAUCAGCCACACUGGGACUGAGACACGGCCCAGACUCCUACGGGAGGCAGCAGUGGAGAAUCUUGCACAAUGGGCGAAAGCCUGAUGCAGCCACGCCGCGUGAGGGAAGAAGGCUUUCGAGUUGUAAACCUCUUUCAGUCGGAAGAAGCGAGAGUGACGGUAACGACAGAAGAAGCCCCGGCCAACUACGUGCCAGCAGCCGCGGUAAUACGUAGGGGGCGAGCGUUGUC